AUCCCAGCACAAACAGAAAAAAAAAGCAAAUAAACCCAACAGACCCAUUAAAGGCAUCUAGAAGGCAAAAAAAAAAAAAAAAGGGAAAAAACCCCUAAAAUGCAGCAAACAAGAAAACACACGGAAGCCAAAACUCUCCAAUGCCAAAAGGUAGACCGAGAUAUGUAAGACAAUGGAGAGGCAAAGGACGAAGUAGGUCAAAGGAUUACAGGGAUAUUGCUUCGAAGAACCACACAAUGGCAAAGUGCUAAUCGGGAGGGUCGAUCCACCACCUAUCGGUAGCUACUGCAGAUUCAAUCUCCGACGGAACCCGCUCCACCGAGAACUGGUCAUGAGCCCAUCGAAAACCUAGAGACACAAGUAGGUGAGCAAUGGUAUUUUGUUCCCUGUAACAAUGUUUGAUGGCGAGAACGAUGAAACCGGUAAGCAAACAGUGCUGACCUUCCUUGAUAAGAGCUGAAAUUUUUGACCUGUCUUCUGUUUUGGAGUAGAGCUUUCGAAUAACUGUCAACGAAUCCCCUCAAAAACAACUCUCUUCAAACUGAGGUCAUGAGCAAACUCCACAACCCAAGUAAAAGCUAAUGCCUCUACAGUGAAAGCGAAUGAGACAUGGCGGUGAAGUUGUGUGCAGGCACCCAACACCUGGCCGUAUGCGUCCCCUGUACGUAGCAUUGAAGUUUGCCUUUACGAAAAGCUCAAUUGCAAGGUUCCACGACUCAGCACGUGAACCCACUGUAGCCCCAACAGUCCCAUCGAGGGCAGUCAGAUCUUAGAGAUACGAAUGAAUAAGGGAAAUGACAUUCAGAGAAGUGUGGGUAAUCCCAUCAUGGUACCUACGAUUCCUCGACAUCCAGACGGCCAAAAUCAUCGUAAGUAUCAACUCUAUCAAGUCCUCAGAAUAAGUUGUAAACAAGAAACCGAGCUAACUAACAAAAUCUGCAUCGUUGUAUGACACAAGCCAAGUGAUCUAUAGGUUCUCCCAUAUCGAAGCUGUUAAAGGGCAAUACCGUAUAACAUGGUAAGUUGUCUCAAGGACGGUUUGACAUUUAGAACAAUACUGAUUUGUAGAAAAGUGUUUGUUGUAGAGUGUAGAUAGAGUAGGGACAUAGUUAUGGUAGAAGCGCCAAGUCGUAAUAUGCACUUUAGGUGGGACUCUAGCUUUCCACAAUGUUGUGAAAAGAACUCUAGAACACAUAGUAGGGCUACGACUAGUAUAGGAAUAGUUCAUAUGCGCAGAAGAAAUGAACAUUUUGUAACCACUACGGACUGUAUAGAAACCUGUUGGGUCCCCUUUCCAAACAAGCAUGUCAUUGCAGGCAAAACGUGAGAGGAAUACUUAAGAUCCGGUCGGCUUUAUUUUCGAAAUACAGGGACCUCACCAAGUUGCCACUACUCGGAAGCCACCAAUAAUUUUAAAUGGAAAUGGAUCGUCCAUUGCCCACCCGCCGACCAAGGUCCUUCUCUAACAAACCCCGAGAGCUCCAGAUGCUAUGCCAGGUAAAAGACGGGUGAAACCCCAAACUUGUAUGCAAAAAAUCCACUAUAUGAAAAUAUUUGGCUUUAAAAACA